UGGGGAAUAUUGCACAAUGGGCGCAAGCCUGAUGCAGCCAUGCCGCGUGUGUGAAGAAGGCCUUCGGGUUGUAAAGCACUUUCAGCGGGGAGGAAGGCGAUAAGGUUAAUAACCUUGUCGAUUGACGUUACCCGCAGAAGAAGCACCGGCUAACUCCGUGCCAGCAGCCGCGGUAAUACGGAGGGUGCAAGCGUUAAUCGGAAUUACUGGGCGUAAAGCGCACGCAGGCGGUCUGUCAAGUCGGAUGUGAAAUCCCCGGGCUCAACCUGGGAACUGCAUUCGAAACUGGCAAGCUAGAGUCUUGUAGAGGGGGGUAGAAUUCCAGGUGUAGCGGUGAAAUGCGUAGAGAUCUGGAGGAAUACCGGUGGCGAAGGCGGCCCCCUGGACAAAGACUGACGCUCAGGUGCGAAAGCGUGGGGAGCAAACAGG
rnacentral:rRNA from 1 species